GUACAAAAUAAUAUUUGUAUUAAUGAAAUUUAGGGUUACAAUCUCUGUAUUGAAUCCUCUGAUUUGAUCUCCAAAGUAUUUAAAGAAAAUUUGUGUUUGAUGCAAGGGUCGUAGAGACUUGAUCUUGAUCAAACGGGUAGCACGAAGCUUGUUUGGUGUUUGGGAUUUUUCUAUGGUGAAGGAACCAGCACGUAUUUAUUGUGCUUGGUGGCUCUUCCAAAGUAGGGUGAAGAAUGCAGAGAGUUUUCUGUUUCUUCUGAGUGCUAGGUUUUUUUCUGACCUUUUCUUUCGUCUUGAGGCCUCCUAUUUACAAGCUAUUGUAAGAUGCUUGACCUAAAUAACUUUCCCUAUUUAAAAUCCUGUCUUGCGGGAUUUUGAUUUGAUUUAAAUCAAUUCCCAUAAUCUGGUAAUUUAACCAUAUUAUCUUCAAUUGAUUGACCUGAUUAAUAUUUGAUUUAAAUCAAAGUCAAUUCACAGAAGAUUCUUUCCUUUAAUCUUGUCUUCGUCUUGAACCGCUUGAUGCACUCCGUCGGAUGUCGCCAUGUGUCAUUUUUUGACAACUAAUCCGAUUUUGAUGAGUCACAAGCCACAUGGACGAAUUACGGGGCCCACGAUUUAAUCCACCGAACCCUAAUUAUUUUCUUGUCCAAUGGAAUUUAUUGCACCAAAAUUUCUUUGUUUACACUCCUAUAUGCUGCCGACAAAGGUGGUGUCCCUUUUCUUCAUUGUUUUUGUUUGUUCUUGCUGUAUGCAACAACAUCAAGCUGCCCAAAAAAAAAAAAAAGCGUGGUUUUCUUCAACUUUUUUUUUUUUUUGUUUUUUUCCCCAGUUCAUCGCCUCUGUAUGCACCAGACCUUCUUCCAAAACAAAAUACAAACCUUAAACCUUUUUUGUUUUUGUUUUAAUCUGUCUCAAAGCAAACAAUUGAUUUUUUUUUUUUUUUUUUUUUUUUUUUUGUAUUUGUUUCAGAGCAGUCCAGAAACAGAAGAAAUUAGUGUCUUUGUUUUUUUUUUUUUGACAGAGAGGGAGAAAAUUGAUCAGAUUCUCCAAAGACAGAGAUAGAACCCACCCCAUGGUUUUGUUUGUGGGUUUUGUACCCAGAUUGGAUCCGUCAUCCAGAGAACUCAGUGAAUGAGCUUUAUGCCCAAAAUGGAUAUAUCACAUAUUUGAUUGAGGGUUACACACCCAUGAUGGAUUUUGUAUCCAAGAUUUUUUUUGGGGUUUAAAACCCAAAGCCUUGAUUUCGGGAUUGCAAAACCCAAUGCUUUGAUUUUGGGAUUUAUUACCCAAAGAUGGAUCGAAAAUCCGAGAAAUUUUGAUUCAAGGGUUGCCAGCCUACAUGGAUUGCCAUCCAUUUGAUUGAUUAAAGGGUUGCCACCCAACAUGGAGGACCUCAAGAGAGGAGCUUUGUUGUAGAUGCAUCUUUGAUUGCUUUCUGUCUUUUUUCCUCUCCAGCCUUUCGGCUCUUCUUCUUUGCCUUCGUGGCCUUGCAGGCUUUUAUUUUUCUUUGAAGCCUCCUCCCUCUUUUUCUUUUCUCUCUCCCUUUUUAUAGAGUCCUUAUAAGAGAGAUUUGAGAUGGAAGAAUUCCCAUUCAAAUUGGAUCCCUC
rnacentral:lncRNA from 1 species